rnacentral:lncRNA from 1 species
GCUGACUCUCAGAAUGCUGGUCCAGGUUGUGGCUCUGCUGGGUCUGGGGGUGCUGGGCAGCUCAGCACCACUGCAGGAGGAACACUCCAGGACUUCAGUGGGAUCUAUCAUUCGAGAACUUCUCCAAGAUAUGAAGGAACUAAAUUUAAAUGCAGUAAGUUCCUUAAAUUUGAACAACUUUUCCCUAGCUGCCCUUCUAUUCCAGGUUCUAUUCUGAAGUUACUGACUUCAUUUUCUCUUGAGCAGGUUCCCAGCCUUGUAACUGUGAAUGCUACGAUGGAGAGAUGCAUGUACAGCCACCUGAAAACCUUCAUUAGCACCUUGACAGGUCUUGACACUUACAGCAAAUUCAUUGCCACAAAAUUGACCACAAUUGACACCUACAGAAACAUCCUCCCCAAAGAUCUGGAUAAGGAAUGUCAGACUGCACAAGUAACAUGGGAUGAGUUCCUGGACACACUAGACAAGUUCUUGAGAUUGCUCUCUGAGAAAAUUCAAAAUGCCUAAAUAGAGCAACUAGUCCAAAGCUGAGAAGAAAAGGAGAACCCAAACUCUGUUGCAACCAAACUGUGACUCAAUUAACUUAUCCUCAGGAAUGUGGUAGAAAAAUAUUUAUAUAGAGAGAGAUACAUUGUAUAUAUAAAUAUAUGUAUAAAGAGUGAUGUUAUAACAGCAGCCAUGUUCACUAUAAUGACUGAAACAUGCUGAUUUUUCAAAAGACAAGCACUUAAAUAUUUAAAUAUUUUAGAUAAUUUUAAUAUUUUAACUUAUGUCUUUUUCAUUAUGACAGAGCAGUUUUUAUUUAUUUAUUUAUUUAUUUAUUUAUGAAGACUUUGAGAUAUUUAUUGUAAUGCUGCUGUAUUUAAGUAUUUGCUGUAGGAAACUGCUGUGUGAUGGUGUGUGAGGAGGAGCUCUGGGGAUGUGCUUUGGGAUUGGCUGUAACAAUAUUUGUCUCACAGUGUCCCAAGCCACAGCCCCAGGGCUCUCAGAGCUGGGUCAAAGUCAGUCUGUGGGACAGGGACAAGGCCACUGGUGCCACCCAGCCCAUUCACUUCCCCUUGGCUCCUGAACUAGCUCCAGGACUGGAGAAGAUUAACUUCAGCUGUGCACUCCCACCUCCACUCCCUCCCUGAGGAUUCAGAUCCAGGGGGCAACUUCAACCACUACAUGUUUCAUUGUUGGUGAAGCAGAGCCAUAUCAUCCAGCCAAACUAGGUAACACAAAAGCAAAGAGGUCUUGUUUGUUUUUCCUCCAGUUCACUCAGCUGAUACGAGGUGUUUCCCACAUCUCAUGUGAGCUGAAUUCUACUGAACUGAAUCAGACAAUACUUGUUUUCCAAACUGUUUAAGUAGCCAUAGCUAUGGCAGGUACUCACAAAGUGCAUACCCAUGUAAAGCUAUCAGUUAAGAUUCUGGAAGUUAAUGUUUAAUAAAAAAGCAUUGAAGGGGAAUGUUCUGCA